rnacentral:rRNA from 1 species
AAAAACAUAGCCUUACGAGAUGCAUGUAAGGUAAGCCCUGCCCAGUGAGAAAUUAAAUGGCCGCAGUACCCUGACUGUGCUAAGGUAGCGUAAUCAGUUGGCUUUUAAAUGGAGUCGAGAAUGAAUGGGUCUAUGGGGGGCAGCUGUCUCGUUCACCGUUAAGUUGAACUUAUUUAGUAGGUGAAAAUACCUACAGGCAAGAAAAAAGACGAGAAGACCCUUAGAGUCUUAAUAAAAUAACUUGGACUAAGUUAAGUAUUUUUGUUGGGGCGACAGUGAGGCAGGUUUAUAACCCUCAGUAACUAGAAGUGACUAGGCGAAAAUGAUAAGAGAGAUAAGACUACCUUAGGGAUAACAGCAUAAUCUUAAAAUUAGCUUUGUGACCUCGAUGUUGGACUAGGAACUUUAUGACUAGCCGUCAUAAGAGCAGGUUCUGUUCGAACCCUUUACUCCUACGUGAUCU